rnacentral:rRNA from 1 species
GUAAGCUUAACACAUGCAAGUCGAACGCAGUCCUUCGGGACUGAGUGGCGGACGGGUGAGUAACACGUGAGAAUCUACCUUCCGGACGGGGACAACCGCGGGAAACCGCGGCUAAUCCCCGAUGAGCCUGCGGGUCAAAGCCUUGGCGCCGGAAGAGGAGCUCGCGGCUGAUUAGCUAGUUGGUCGGGUAAAAGCCGACCAAGGCAACGAUCAGUAGCUGGUCUGAGAGGAUAGCCAGCCACACUGGGACUGAGACACGGCCCAGACUCCUACGGGAGGCAGCAGUGGGGAAUCUUCCGCAAUGGGCGCAAGCCUGACGGAGCUAUACCGCGUGAGGGAAGAAAGCCCUUGGGCUGUAAACCUCUUUUCUUGGGGAAGAAAACUGAC